rnacentral:rRNA from 1 species
UACGUAGGCGGAAAAUUAAGUCAGUGGUGAAAUCCUGCAGCUUAACUGUGGAACUGUUAUUGAUACUGGUUUUCUUGAAUAUAGUUGAGGUAGGCGGAAUGUGUAAUGUAGCGGUGAAAUGCUUAGAUAUUACACAGAACACCGAUUGCGAAGGCAGCUUACUAAGCUAUGAUUGACGCUGAGGUACGAAAGCGUGGGGAGCGAACAGGAUUAGAUACCCUGGUAGUCC